AUCCAGCUGGCGGACGAGUCCCAGAUAGAACGAAAUGCACAUCCUGGAU
rnacentral:hammerhead_ribozyme from 1 species